rnacentral:lncRNA from 1 species
GAAAAUCAGAUCUGGAAAAAAGAAUAAUUCAAUUAAUCAAAGUACAAAGCAAUGAACGAAUAUAAAUGCAAAUGCUUAAAUCAAUCAUCUCAAUCACCAAAAAAGGAGAAAUCUAAUUUGUUUUUUUUUUUUACCAAAAGAUUUUAUUACCUUGAAAGCAGACGGAGGAGGAAUGGCGGCAGACGGUCUGGCAGCGACUACAGAGGGCUGACGGCGGAGGGCUGUCGGCGACGGCAACGGCAGGCGGCGGCGGAGAUUGGGGGCGAAUUAGGGUAUCACGGAGGAGGGCUAACGCCGGUGGGAUGACGGCGAACGGCGGACAGCAGGCGGCGGGCGGCGGGCGGCGGACCGCGGUGGGCAGAUCGGAGGAAAGAGAGAGAGGGAGAAAUUUAGGGAGAGAAACAAACAGAUCGAAUUAAGGUCUGGUUGAAAUAAUAAAUCAACCUUUGCGCCGUUUACACCUUUCGUCGC